rnacentral:misc_RNA from 1 species
AACCGCCGUGUACGGAACCGUACGCACGGUGGUGUGAGAGGACGGUAGAUGAACUAAUCAUCUACCUCCU